UGGCGACAAAUCAAGAAGUGCUCCAGCAAGUCGAGCGGUAGAUCACAGAGAAGCUUGCUCUCGGGUGACGAGCGGCGGACGGGUGAGUAAUGUCUGGGAAACUGCCUGAUGGAGGGGGAUAACUACUGGAAACGGUAGCUAAUACCGCAUAACGUCGCAAGACCAAAGUGGGGGACCUUCGGGCCUCAUGCCAUCAGAUGUGCCCAGAUGGGAUUAGCUAGUAGGUGGGGUAAUGGCUCACCUAGGCGACGAUCCCUAGCUGGUCUGAGAGGAUGACCAGCCACACUGGAACUGAGACACGGUCCAGACUCCUACGGGAGGCAGCAGUGGGGAAUAUUGCACAAUGGGCGCAAGCCUGAUGCAGCCAUGCCGCGUGUAUGAAGAAGGCCUUCGGGUUGUAAAGUACUUUCAGCGAGGAGGAAGGCGUUAAGGUUAAUAACCUUGGUGAUUGACGUUACUCGCAGAAGAAGCACCGGCUAACUCCGUGCCAGCAGCCGCGGUAAUACGGAGGGUGCAAGCGUUAAUCGGAAUUACUGGGCGUAAAGCGCACGCAGGCGGUCUGUCAAGUCGGAUGUGAAAUCCCCGGGCUCAACCUGGGAACUGCAUUCGAAACUGGCAGGCUAGAGUCUUGUAGAGGGGGGUAGAAUUCCAGGUGUAGCGGUGAAAUGCGUAGAGAUCUGGAGGAAUACCGGUGGCGAAGGCGGCCCCCUGGACAAAGACUGACGCUCAGGUGCGAAAGCGUGGGGAGCAAACAGGAUUAGAUACCCUGGUAGUCCACGCCGUAGACGAUGUCGACUUGGAGGUUGUGCCCUUGAGGCGUGGCUUCCGGAGCUAACGCGUUAAGUCGACCGCCUGGGGAGUACGGCCGCAAGGUUAAAACUCAAAUGAAUUGACGGGGGCCCGCACAAGCGGUGGAGCAUGUGGUUUAAUUCGAUGCAACGCGAAGAACCUUACCUACUCUUGACAUCCAGAGAACUUAGCAGAGAUGCUUUGGUGCCUUCGGGAACUCUGAGACAGGUGCUGCAUGGCUGUCGUCAGCUCGUGUUGUGAAAUGUUGGGUUAAGUCCCGCAACGAGCGCAACCCUUAUCCUUUGUUGCCGCGGUUCGGCCGGGAACUCAAAGGAGACUGCCAUCUAUAACUGCAGGAAGGUGGGGAUGGCGUCAAGUCAUCUGGCCCUUUCCAAUAGGGGUCCCCCCUCCUACAAGGCCUUUUCAAGAAAAAACGACCCCCCAAAAACAGCCGACCCCU
rnacentral:rRNA from 1 species